GGCAGCUGUGGCUCAGUAGGAAGAGUAAUCAGAAGGUUGUGGGUUCGAUUCCAGCUUCCUCCUGCCA